UGGUUCUGGCAUCGAUGAAGAACGCAGCGAAAUGCGAUACGUAAUGUGAAUUGCAGAAUUCAGUGAAUCAUCGAAUCUUUGAACGCACAUUGCGCCCAUUAGUAUUCUAGUGGGCAUGCCUGUUCGAGCGUCAUUUCAACCCUUAAGCCUGGCUUAGUGUUGGGAGUCUACUGUGAAAGGUAGUUCCUGAAAAACAACGGCGGAUCUACAGUGUCCUCUGAGCGUAGUAAUCCUCUUAUCUCGCUUUUGUCAGGUGCUGUAGCCCUUGCCGGUAAACCCCCAAAUUUUUAAUGGUUGACCUCGGAUCAGGUAGGAAUACCCGCUGA
rnacentral:misc_RNA from 1 species